rnacentral:misc_RNA from 1 species
GAUGAAGAACGCAGCGAAAUGCGAUAAGUAAUGUGAAUUGCAGAAUUCCGUGAAUCAUCGAAUCUUUGAACGCACAUUGCGCCCUCUGGUAUUCCGGGGGGCAUGCCUGUCCGAGCGUCAUUGCAAACCCUCAAGCCCGGCUUGCGUGAUGGGUCGCAUCGUCCCCGAAGGCCCUCCGGGGCGGGUGGGACGGGCCCGAAAGGCAGCGGCGGCGUCGCGGUCAUCCGAUCAGCCCAAGCGUAUGGGGACAUCCGUCACACGCUAGGGGCGCUGACCGACGCCCGCCUGGAACGUCACACUUCUCAAGGUUUGACCUCGGAUCAGGUAGGGAUACCCGCUGAACUUAAGCAUAUCAAUAAGCGGAGGA